UACGGAGGGUGCAAGCGUUAAUCGGAAUCACUGGGCGUAAAGCGUGCGUAGGCGGUUUUGUAAGUCAGAAGUGAAAGCCCUCGGCUCAACCGGGGAAUUGCUUUUGAAACUGCAAGACUUGAGUCUCGGAGAGGUCAGGGGAAUUCCAGGUGUAGGAGUGAAAUCCGUAGAUAUCUGGAGGAACAUCAGUGGCGAAGGCGCCUGACUGGACGAGUACUGACGCUGAGGUACGAAAGCGUGGGGAGCAAACAGG
rnacentral:rRNA from 1 species